CAAUCUCGUAAUUCGAAAUAAAUGAAGGCAGAUAUUAAAUUACGGUAACCAAAGGAUAAAUCGUUAGUUCAGAAUGAGGACUAAAACAUACGCGACGUUCUUGAUCACAGAUGGCGGCACUCGUAUAUUAUUCGCUUCAUGCAAUUUGUAUAUCAAUAGAGAAAAUACGCAGCUUCUUUGCAGUCUUCUUUCUUGUUGCUUGAAAGAGUUUCAAUCACCACAAUCAUAUUAAUUAAUUCAUCACUCAAACUGACAAAAUAUACGAUUAAGCUCAGUUACGUAAGUUUAAUCCAAUAUAAUAAUUGGAAAAUAGAAGUCAUAAGAUAAAUCAAUUAAAACACAAAUCUGUAUUACGCUAUACAUACGCAACUUAAGAUUUGAUUUUAUUUUUAUCGUACAAGAGUAAAAUUAAUUCCCCGCGUGAAACUUACGAAAUCUCCUACGAAAUUCGAUAUAAAUCCACUUUUCUCUGCCCUCUGCCGCCUUCGCCCGAUGCGAAACAUGUUUCCAUGUGAGAGAGUGGAUGGGCCAUAGCAGAGGACGAGAAGGCGUAAGUGCUUCUUGUUGGAAAAAUUAUAUGAUAGCCGAGAGAGCGCAAGCUUUUUCCCCCCUCGACUCUGUUCUGCUCUUUUCCCUCCAGCCUCGGAUUAGAAAAUAUGAUUAGCUUCGUGCCGGGAAGUUUAUUCGGGGGUAACGGCAGGGCGGAAAACGGGAAAAGGGGUGGUGGCCGUUCGUACCCUUCGGAUUUUAUGGAUGACCAUGGUCCCUUAUGUGUCUCGAUACAACGGCGCUUUCCAUGAAACGGUCUCUACACUGCUGCGUCUAAUUCGCACAACACGCCGAGCGAUUCCACGAGCUUUUAUCGUUAUUACACGUGUUUCUUUGAUAACGUCUCUUAGCUCGCCAAAUAAAUUACAGAGUGCAGCGAUAAUAAAUCACGGAUACCGUGGUGGUAAAAAAGCUUUAAAAAAAAAAAA
rnacentral:lncRNA from 1 species